AGCAGUCGCCGCGGUAAUACGGAGGGGGCUAGCGUUGUUCGGAAUUACUGGGCGUAAAGCGCACGUAGGCGGCUUGGUAAGUUAGAGGUGAAAGCCCGGAGCUCAACUCCGGAAUUGCCUUUAAGACUGCCGAGCUAGCAGGUGAGAGAGGUAAGUGGAAUUCCGAGUGUAGAGGUGAAAUUCGUAGAUAUUCGGAAGAACACCAGUGGCGAAGGCGACUGACUGGACAAGUAUUGACGCUGAGGUGCGAAAGCGUGGGGAGCAAACAGGAUUAGAUACCCCCGUAGUCCCUGUCUCUUAUAA
rnacentral:rRNA from 1 species